CUACCACAUCCAAGGAUGGCAGCAGGCGCGCAAAUUACCCAAUCCCGACACGGGGAGGUACUGACAAUAAAUAACAAUACGGCCUUCUUUCGGAUUUCGUAAUUGGAAUGAGUACAAUAUAAAUCUCUUAACGAGGAACAAUUGGAGGGCAAGUCUCGUGCCAGCAGCCGCGGUAAAUCCAGCUCCAAUAGCGUAUAUUAAAGUUGUUGCAGUUAAAAGGCUCGUAGUUGAAUUUCGGGAUCAAAUUGUCGGUCGUGCCUCGGUACGUACUGGUAUUAUUGGUUCCUCCCUUCUGACGAACCACGAUGUCAUUAAUUUGGUGUCAUGGGAAAUCAGGACUGUUACUUUGAAAAAUUAGAGUGUUUAAAGCAGGCUCGCGCUUGAAUACAUUAGCAUGGAAUAAUGAAAUAGGACGUUUGACUCUAUUUUGUUGGUUUCUAGGAUCGACGUAAUGAUUAAUAGGGAUAGUUGGGGGCAUUAGUAUUCAAUUGUCAGAGGUGAAAUUCUUGGAUUUAUUGAAGACUAACUACUGCGAAAGCAUUUGCCAAGGAUGUUUUCAUUAAUCAAGAACGAAAGUUAGGCGAUCGAAGACGAUCAGAUACCGUCGUAGUCUUAACCAUAAACUAUGCCGACUAGGGAUCGGAUGAUGUUAAAUUUUUAAUGACUCAUUCGGCGCCUUACGGGAAACCAAAGUGUUUGGGUUCCGGGGGGAGUAUGGUCGCAAGGCUGAAACUUAUAGGAAUUGACGGAAGGGCACCACCAGGGGUGGAGCCUGCGGCUUAAUUUGACUCAACACGGGGAAACUCACCAGGUCCAGACAUAGUAAGGAUUGACAGAUUGAGAGCUCUUUCUUGAUUCUAUGGGUGGUGGUGCAUGGCCGUUCUUAGUUGGUGGAGUGAUUUGUCUGGUUAAUUCCGUUAACGAACCAGACCUUAACCUGCUAAAUAGCUAGGCUUAGCUUCGGUUAGGCCGUCAGCUUCUUAGAGGGACUAUCGGUGUUUAACCGAUGGAAGUUUGAGGCAAUAACAGGUCUGUGAUGCUCUUUGAUGUUCUGGGCCGCACGCGCGCUACACUGAUGAAGUCAACGAGUUCUUAUCCUUUAUCGGAAGAUAUGGGUAAUCUUUUGAAACUUCAUCGUGCUGGGGAUAGAGCUUUGCAAUUAUUGCUCUUAAAGGAGGAAUCCCUAGUAAGCACAAGUCAUCAGCUUGUGCUGAUUACGU
rnacentral:rRNA from 1 species